rfam:Camponotus floridanus CamFlo_1.0_4.contig4760, whole genome shotgun sequence.
GAUAAUAGCGUAAUAUUUUUAAAAAGAUCUUAUUGAUAAGAAUGAUUGCGACCUCGAUGUUGAAUUAAAAUAAAAAUUAAACGGAGAAGUUUAAUAUUUUAGUCUGUUCGACUAUUAAAAUUUUACAUGAUUUGAGUUUAGAUCGAUGUGAGUCAGAUC